rnacentral:pre_miRNA from 1 species
AAAAACUUAAUUCUUGGGUUUCAGUGUACAAUGUUUGACGGUCCGUUUUAUAUGAAAUUUUUUUAUGAUUAGUAUUUUUAUUAUUGUUAGAUGGUAAAACAUUAAUAUAUAAUACUUUAUGCAUAGCUUAUCUUUUUUUUUCAAAUAAUACGGACGGUCAAACGCACGAAAACCCA